ensembl:lncRNA
CCCUGAAGCAAAGCCCACGCCCUCCUCACAAACAGCUUUGAAGAGAUCUAGAUUUCAGAUCCCAUGAUCUGUUAUGUCAGAGGAAGGCAUGCAGAAGACAUGCUCUGCACUCAGUCUCGCCAGGGCAAGAGUAGACCCGACCUCCUUGAAGAAUGAGACCUUGUUCCAUUCUCUUCCCUUGCCUGUAAUGCCUUGAAACAAGCGAGCGGUUCAUAGGAGCUUUGCAAGAUAUUACAGAAUUGCAGUGUGUAUUUGAAAUUCAAAUGCGCAUGGGAUUCGUGCAUUUUAUUGUCCUGUGGCUCAUGUCUCUUAAAUAAAGCAUUUCCCCUGUGUAGGCGCUCCCAGGGGCUCCACAUGAGGUCAGCGCUGGGGUGGCUUUGCCAGGGUCAGAAGGCUGUUCUUCCAGGAAGGGCUGCAGAGACCCUGGGAACAGGACCAGCCCAGCUCACAAGUAUGAAGAGAAUGUCGGAGAGGAAGUGGUGGCUGUGAGUCAGCAUGAGUCAUCUCGUUCCAAUGAGAACAGAGACUGAGGUGUGCGCCCUUUUUUUUUCUUUUUCUUUUUCUUCUUCUUUUUCCCUCUUUUUUCUUUCUUUUCUUUCUUUUUUUCCCUCUCUUAAUUUCUUUCUUUCUUUCCUUCCUUCUUUCUUUCUUUCUUUUUUCUUGGUCUCAGCCAUGUGGACGUGAUGGGGAAUGGAGGGAAGUCGUGACAGCAGGCUGCUCAGGCGGCGGACUGGCAUUCCAGGCAGGCUGUGGCUGAGCCAGCGUGCGCCUCAGUCCUCCGCAGCUCCGCCGGCGGGAAGGUGGAGCCAGCCGCUUCUCCCCGAUGGCAAAGUAAGAAGCAGAAGGGGAAAGGACUUGGCUGCCAGCAGCUUCCCCAUCCUUUAUGGAUUGGAUCUGUAAAGGAGACUCUCAGGUGGGUACGAACAACACCUAUUGUC